UACAGAGGUCUCAAGCGUUGUUCGGAUUCAUUGGGCGUAAAGGGUGCGUAGGCGGGUUGAUAAGUCAGGGGUGAAACCUCCGAGCUUAACUCGGAAACUGCCUUUGAUACUAUCAGUCUUGAAUUCAGUUGAGGUGGGCGGAAUGUGUCGUGUAGCGGUGAAAUGCUUAGAUAUGACACAGAACACCAAUUGCGAAAGGCAGCUCGCUAAACUGACAUUGACGCUGAGGCACGAAAGCGUGGGGAGCAAACAGG
rnacentral:rRNA from 1 species